UACGAAGGGGGCUAGCGUUGCUCGGAAUUACUGGGCGUAAAGGGCGCGUAGGCGGCUCAUGAAGGCUGUGGUGAAAGUCCGGGGCUCAACCUCGGAUCGGCCGUGGCGACUCGUGGGCUGGAGCACUGUAGAGGCGGGUGGAAUUCCGGGUGUAGCGGUGGAAUGCGUAGAGAUCCGGAAGAACACCAGUGGCGAAGGCGGCCCGCUGGGCAGUGGCUGACACUGAGGCGCGACAGCGUGGGGAGCAAACAGG
rnacentral:rRNA from 1 species